AUAUUUUUACCACUGGGCAGACUUUAAAACUUUAAAAGUACCCCCAGCCUAGGUGGACUCCCUGACCAUACUACGUUAAUGAAGAGUGGCAUCCAACCUGGGCUUCUUCUACCCUAAACAUUCCUAAAACACCUACUUGCUGGAGAACAUUACUUGCCAGUAGCAUUUUAGCCAAAGUCUGGAAUCCCCUCUGACAAUAAUGAGAAGUGCCCAGUCAUGAAUAUUCAUUGUAAAGUUAAUAUGCAAAUGAAGUAGUAUCAGCCCACACACCCCUGCCCACCCAAUAUUCCAUAAAUGGAGUGCCUUUAUGUACAUUUACAUGUGCCAGUUGGCUGUAAACACUACCUGUUGGAAUGUACUAAUAGGAUCUUAGGGGGUGUCCUGAGGUUGACCCCAAAUACUUUGUGGGUGAGAUCACCUGCUGAGGGAAUUCCAUGGGCCUGCUGCACUUCCUCACACUUAGCACACACUUUUCAAUUUUGUUUUGACCCCUUAAGGUCAGAGGAAAUAGGCAGACAUCUUUAUCACCUGUCGCCCCAGAUAAUCUGUCAGGAAAUGAGUGCAAUGUGAAAGCAGUCCUCACUAAGAAGUGUUCUUGGUAGCAGAACUCCAUAUCACCACGGUAACAACUCCAGGGAGGGUAAACCAAAAGUAGGUCACCUGUUGCAGCGUAAACUUCCUCUGUGUGCACAAACUUGCCUUGUCUGAGAGUGAGACAGGAAUUUGAGGGAAGAGGUUGAAAAGGGAGCAGACAGGGUGAUCCUCUGAAUUAUGGGGCCACCUCAGAGGGAACCUGAGAAGUUUUGGCACUGGUGGCAGGGCAGUGCAAACAGAAGUACUUGCAAGGGGUGCUGGAACUUGGAAGGACCAAGAGAGCAUUAGUGGUUGGAGAGGUCAGCUGACAGGAGACAUCACUUUCUACUUCUCCAGCACAGCCACUGAAGAGGCUGCUCUAAAUUCUCAAAGGGAAAGACUUGGAAGCUGGCACCAACAGACACACAAAGACCCCCAGUCUGGAGGAAAAGGGUGGAUUUACUGGGAACUUAGUAUGGAGACAGGAGACAGACUGAUGGCAGCUGGGGUGACCAUCAUCAUGCUGCAUGUUCUAUAGGCAUUCUGCUCACCCAUGAAAGUUGAAUUGACUGGCUUCAAUGCAGCAAAGCUGGAGAGUCUGUCACAUGGGAUCUACGUACAUCAUGCAUGCCUACAUCAAUGAAACCAACUGUCAAGGAUAUUCCAAACAGUUCCACCAAGACAACAAACCAAAGCUUUCAUGUAAUCUUUGUAUUUCACCAACUAGCCACAGAUUGUUGCCAGUGUUUUAUGAUCAAACUUAAGAUAUUAAUUUAAUUCCUAUUUGUCAUAUUGUCCUAUUUCCUCCACUUUCGAAAACAAAAAUCCUAAAAUACUGAAG